AACGCUGCCAAGAGCAAAGUGACAUCCCAGCGUCCCCAGCCCGUGUGAGUGAGCCAAGCCCUGGCGCUGCAGGGGGAGGGAGCAGCUUUCGGAUGCCUUUUCCAGAGGCCGUUUCUGUAGUGGCAAAGUGACUCGGACGAAAAGGGCUUAAGACUAAGAAAUCUCUUCAAAGUCAACAUCCUGGCUGAUAAACGGAUUACAACUGGCAGAUGUCUCUCUACUGAUCAUCUUUUAGUCACCUAUCAGGAAAGUCACUAAAGCACCUCUCGUUGCACCUUCCCGUUUGUCUGCAUUUCGUCCCUGGUACUGCUGUGGGUAAUCAUGGUCAUGACAAGUAUAAAAUGCUGGAUGUGCUGGGGACAAUCUGAUCGUCUAGUUCUGCCUGACAUCUAAGGCCUCUUCUUGGUAGGAAAAGUCUGUGAGGACGAGGUGGAUCUAGUCUUGGUAGAGA
ensembl:lncRNA